rnacentral:rRNA from 1 species
CCUACGGGUGGCAGCAGUAGGGAAUCUUCCACAAUGGGCGAAAGCCUGAUGGAGCAACGCCGCGUGGGUGAAGAAGGUCUUCGGAUCGUAAAACCCUGUUGUUAGAGAAGAAAGUGUGUGAGAGCAACUGUUCACGUUUCGACGGUAUCUAACCAGAAAGCCACGGCUAACUACGCGCCAGCAGCCGACGUAAUACGUAGGUGGCAAGCGUUAUCCGGAUUUAUUGGGCGUAAAGGGAACGCAAGCGGUCUUUUAAGUCUGAUGUGAAAGACUUCGGCUUAACCGGAGUAGUGCAUUGGAAACUGGGAGACUUGAGUGCAGAAGAGGAGUGUGGAACUCCAUGUGUAGCGGUGAAAUGCGUAGAUAUAUGGAAGAACACCAAUGGCGAAAGCAGCUCUCUGGUCUGUAACUGACGCUGAGGUUCGAAAGCGUGGGUAGCGAACAGGAUUAGAUACCCUUGUAGUC